GACGAACGCUGGCGGCGUGCUUAACACAUGCAAGUCGAACGGAAAGGCCCUGCUUUUGUGGGGUGCUCGAGUGGCGAACGGGUGAGUAACACGUGAGUAACCUGCCCUUGACUUUGGGAUAACUUCAGGAAACUGGGGCUAAUACCGGAUAGGAGCUCCCGCUGCAUGGUGGGGGUUGGAAAGUUUCGGCGGUUGGGGAUGGACUCGCGGCUUAUCAGCUUGUUGGUGGGGUAGUGGCUUACCAAGGCUUUGACGGGUAGCCGGCCUGAGCGGGUGACCGGCCACAUUGGGACUGGAAUACGGCCCAGACUCCUACGGGACGCAGCAGUGGGGAAUAUUGCACAGUGGGCGGAAGCCUGAUGCAGCACCGCCGCGUGCGGGAUGACGGCCUUCGGGUUGUAAACCGCUUUCGCCUGUGACGAAGCGUGAGUGACGGUAAUGGGUAAAGAAGCACCGGCUAACUACGUG
rnacentral:rRNA from 1 species